ensembl:snRNA U2 U2 spliceosomal RNA
AUCGCUUCUCGGCCUUUUGGCCAAGAUCAAGUGUAGUAUCUGUUCUUAUCAGUUUAAUAUUACAGACUUCAGUAAGUGGCUUACUUUACUUAUAAAAGCUUUUUAAAGUCAUAUUUUUUUGUAAUGUAUUUUUAUUGGGGAAUAUUGGGGAACAGUGUGUUUUUCCAGGAUCCAUCAGCUCCAUGUCAA